rnacentral:rRNA from 1 species
CAAUAGCGUAUAUUUAAGUUGUUGCAGUUAAGAAGCUCGUAGUCGGAUUUUGGCUGAGAACGAUCGGUCCGCCGUUAGGUGUGCACUGAUUGGUCUCAGCUUCCUGGUGAGGAGGUGUGCUUCACGGCCACUUAGUCACCGUGGUUACUUUGAAAAAAUUAGAGUGUUCAAAGCGGGCUUACGCUUGAAUAUAUUAGCAUGGAAUAACACCAUAGGACUCCUGUCCUAUUUCGUUGGUCUCGGGACGGGAGUAAUGAUUAAGAGGAACAGUUGGGGGCAUUCGUAUUUCAUUGUCAGAGGUGAAAUUCUUGGAUUUAUGAAAGACGAACUUCUGCGAAAGCAUUUGCCAAGGAUGUUUUCAUUGA